UAGGGAAUCUUCCACAAUGGACGCAAGUCUGAUGGAGCAACGCCGCGUGAGUGAAGAAGGUUUUCGGAUCGUAAAGCUCUGUUGUUGGUGAAGAAGGAUAGAGGCAGUAACUGGUCUUUAUUUGACGGUAAUCAACCAGAAAGUCACGGCUAACUACGUGCCAGCAGCCGCGGUAAUACGUAGGUGGCAAGCGUUGUCCGGAUUUAUUGGGCGUAAAGCGAGCGCAGGCGGAAUGAUAAGUCUGAUGUGAAAGCCCACGGCUCAACCGUGGAACUGCAUCGGAAACUGUCAUUCUUGAGUGCAGAAGAGGAGAGUGGAAUUCCAUGUGUAGCGGUGGAAUGCGUAGAUAUAUGGAAUAACACCAGUGGCGAAGGCGGCUCUCUGGUCUGCAACUGACGCUGAGGCUCGAAAGCAUGGGUAGCGAACAGG
rnacentral:rRNA from 1 species